rnacentral:rRNA from 1 species
CCCUUAGAUGUUCUGGGCCGCACGCGCGCUACACUGAACAUAUCAGCUUGUUUUUCCCUUCCUGAGAAGGACGGGUAAACCCCUGAGCCAUGUUCAUGGUAGGGAUUGGGGCUUGCAAUUAUUCCCCACGAACCAGGAAUUCCCAGUAGGCGCAAGUCAUAAGCUUGCGUCGAUUACGUCCCUGCCCUUUGUACACACCGCCCGUCGCUACUACUGAUUGGAUGUUUAAGCGAGGUUCUCGAACUGCUAGCGACUUAGCUUCGGUGAGGUCGCAGUGUGGGAAGUGAACCUAGCUUUGGUGUCUAGAGGAAGUAAAAGUCGUAACA